AUUGAACGCUGGCGGCAGGCCUAACACAUGCAAGUCGAGCGAGCGGCGGACGGGUGAGUAAUGUCUGGGAAACUGCCUGAUGGAGGGGGAUAACUACUGGAAACGGUAGCUAAUACCGCAUACCAUCAGAUGUGCCCAGAGGGGAUUAGCUAGAAGGUGGGGGAACGGCUCACUGAGGCGACGAUCCCUAGCUGGUCUGAGAGGAUGACCAUCCACGCUGGAACUGAGACACGGUCCAGAACCCUCCGGUAGGCAGCAGUGUGGAAUAUGGCACAAUGGGCGACAGCCUGAUGCCGCCAUGCCGGGUGUGUGAAGAAGGCCUUCGGGUUGUAAAGCACUUUCAGAGGGGAGGCGUUACCCGCAGAAGAAGCACGGGCUAACUCCGUGCCAGCAGACGCGGUAAUAC
rnacentral:rRNA from 1 species